UUCCCUUCGCCGCACAAACUCAGUUGCAAUUUAGGUCCCCAAGAAAUGUGUGGGACCUCUAGAAGCAACCUGAGUUUGCAUCUGUGUUGGUCCCCCAACCCCUAACAACACUAGGGCUGGUUCUUGGGUCCCAAAAUUGUCCUGCUUCCAGGAAAUGGAGAGGAAGCAGGGCACUAGGUGUGGAAUUCCUAGGCAAGGGCCUGCAGCUUGUCAAGUUCAGUCUUAUCUCCCCCUGCAGCUUGAUCAAAAUGGAUGGCCAGGUUGCAAGAAACAAUAGCUGGGGACCACCAAGAAGGCUGAGCUAUUGACAGCCCUGAGUGGCAGAUGUUGUUGGUGGAAUGUCCCUUCCUCUCUCAAAAACAAUCCAGCGAUUUUACCUGAGCACAGGGAGCCGGGCAAAAGGACUUGGAAGGAGCCCAGCCACCACCUCUGCGGCCAUGGCCUCCAGGUCACCCAGCUGGCAGCCCUCUUGCUGUUUCAGGGACGAUACUUGGGUCUCUGCAGCACGUCCUGCCGUCCUCUCCCGGACACCCUCCCUGACCAAGGCCUUUUCUAAAGCCAGAGGAGGGGCUCUGGGGGAAGAGUAUUCAACCUGAUGGGAAAAUGCUUGAUCAGUGGAAAGAACGGAUUCCUUCUGGGCCCUUCUCCCCUCUAAUGCAGCCCUUCCUGGUCUGCUGGGUCAGAAGGCUCCAACACUGAUCCCCAGGUUCACUUCUUCCCACUUUGCCCCCACUUAGGAGUAAAGGGAGGGGUGGGGGCUGGUUGUGAGACAGGCUGAGAUACACCACCCCCAGCUGGCCUCUCAUCUCCCCGACCCGAGAACUUUCGGGAACCAGAAACUUACAGUUCAGGAAAGUACAAGAAUGGCUAAUUCUUCCAGCCACCCCUCCACUUUGCCACAAUUUCCAUUAGCACCAAAAUCACCGCCUCCAGAGCCUGGGUGGCCUCCCGGCUUAGAUAAUUAUUUUCUCAUUAGUUCCAUUCACAUUCGCCUGCAACCUUCAUUAGACACUGAAACAUCUGCACAGACCAGCCAGGAGUUCUCCUUCUCUAGGAACUUGCUUUUCCCAAGCUCAAGGUCCGUAGCCUAAAUGAAAGUUGGAUGGAAGGAUUAACUAGGCUUUCUACAAUAAAAAAACUAACUAACGGGGAGAUGUCCAAGAGCUCAUGCAUGGGAGUUCAGGCUGUAACCAAAUCCAAAUGAGCAGGCACUCGGGUAUUGUGAAGGCCAAACAGGAGAGCUGGGGGCCUGUGAGAUGCUGCUUCUGUGUAGCAGUGACUACACGUCACCCUCAGCCUGCUCUGCUGGAAUUCUCUUUGCCUCAAUCAGGAGAAACCAUUAUGCCCUUCCCCACUGGAAGCCCUCCCAUGUUUUUCCCAAAUAUAAUUUGGAGCUCACUUGCAUUUAAGUAUACCAUAGAUCUUCUGGGGGGACCUUUAUCCCAGGACCCAUCUCUGGCACUACCUGCAGUAUCUCUGAGAAUGGGCUGCAGGCAAGUGUUGAUCCAGCCAAACCCUGGAGCUCAUUAAGGCCUCCCUUAUCAGCUUAAGAUUUGUGGCACUUAAGGCAUAAUUGACAUCAGAGAAUGGACAAUACAUUCUAAAAUGGAAUGGAAAAUACAUUCUAAAAUGGAAUGGAAAGUGAAGUUUAUCAUCUUUGUACAGAGGUAGACAGAGACAGCAAAGGAGACACCUGGCUUUGCUACUUGGCAGAGUAACUGAAAGCUCACUGCAAAUGCCUAUUUUUUUUCUCUCUUCUUGAUCAUAUUGAGUCAGGGAAUCCAAGAGGCCAAGUCACUGACAGUAAAGAAGAUUCGCUGUGGGGCAGGGCGGGGGGUGAUGUUGUGCAGAGCUGUGUGUCCCCAACUUCAGCUACCAGGGUUCCAGCUCUGUGGUUCUUGCGUAUCUGCAGGCUUAGCUGUGCUGCUGUUUACCUAAUAUUGUUUUGCUCUUGCAUUACUUAAAUAAAUGAUUUGAAAAGGAAAUUUUACUCUA
ensembl:lncRNA